GACGAACGCUGGCGGCGUGCCUAAUACAUGCAAGUCGAACGCACUCUCGUUUAGAUUGAAGGAGCUUGCUCCUGAUUGAUAAACAUUUGAGUGAGUGGCGGACGGGUGAGUAACACGUGGGUAACCUGCCCUAAAGUGGGGGAUAACAUUUGGAAACAGAUGCUAAUACCGCAUAAAACCUAACACCGCAUGGUGUAGGGUUGAAAGAUGGUUUCGGCUAUCACUUUAGGAUGGACCCGCGGUGCAUUAGUUAGUUGGUGAGGUAAAGGCUCACCAAGACCGUGAUGCAUAGCCGACCUGAGAGGGUAAUCGGCCACACUGGGACUGAGACACGGCCCAGACUCCUACGGGAGGCAGCAGUAGGGAAUCUUCCACAAUGGACGAAAGUCUGAUGGAGCAACGCCGCGUGAGUGAAGAAGGUUUCGGAUCGUAAAACUCUAGUUGUUGGAGAAGGAAUGUAUCUGAUAGUAACUGAUCAGGUAGUGACGGUAUCC
rnacentral:rRNA from 1 species